rnacentral:rRNA from 1 species
GACGAACGCUGGCGGCGUGCUUAACACAUGCAAGUCGAACGAAGUGGCGAACGGGUGAGUAACGCGUAAUAAACCUGCCCUUCAGAGGGGGACACCAGUGGGAAACGACUGCUAAUACCGCUUACUGCAGUACGGGCUUGCGUUGGAUUAGCUGGUGGGAGGGGUAACGGCCCAACAAGGCGAUGAUCAGUACGCGGUGUGAGAGUGUGAACGGGCAAAGUGGGAAGUGGACACGGCCCAGACUCCUCAGGGAGGCAGCAGUGGGGAAUCUGCCGCAAUGGACAAAAAGCUGACGGAGCAACGCCGGGGGAGUGAUGACGGCCUUCGGGGUGUAAAGGUCUGUUAAUCGGGACGCGGUACCGGAAUAGAAAGCCACGGCUAACUACGUGCCAGCAGCCGCGGUAAUUC